AGUGAACGCUGGCGGUAUGCCUAACACAUGCAAGUCGAACGGCAGCACAGUAAGAGUUUGCUCUUACGGGUGGCGAGUGGCGGACGGGUGAGGAAUACAUCGGAAUCUACUUUUUCGUGGGGGAUAACGUAGGGAAACUUACGCUAAUACCGCAUACGACCUACGGGUGAAAGCAGGGGAUCUUCGGACCUUGCGCGAUUGAACGAGCCGAUGUCGGUUUAGCUAGUUGGCGGGGUAAAGGCCCACCAAGGCGACGAUCCGUAGCUGGUCUGAGAGGAUGAUCGGCCACACGGGACGUGAACCACGGUCAGGCCUCCUACGGGAGGAAGCAGUGGGGAAUAUUGGACAAUGGGCGCAAGCCUGCUCCAGCCAGACCGCGUGGGUGAAGAAGGCCUUCGGGUUGUAAAGUCCUUUUGUUGGGAAAGAAAAGCAGCAGGUUAAUACGCCGCUGUUCUGACGGUACCCAACGAAUAAGCACCGGCUAACUACGUG
rnacentral:rRNA from 1 species